GACGAACGCUGGCGGCGUGCUUAACACAUGCAAGUCGAACGGUGAAGCGCCUUCCUUUUUGGUGGGUGUGGAUGAGUGGCGAACGGGUGAGUAACACGUUAGUAACCUGCCCCCUUCUUCUGGAUAACCGCAUGAAAGUGUGGCUAAUACGGGAUAUUCUGGGUCUGUCGCAUGAUGGGUCUGGGAAAGAUAUUGUUUCGGUGGGGGAUGGGCUCGCGGCCUAUCAGCUUGUUGGUGGGGUGAUGGCCUACCAAGGCGGUGACGGGUAGCCGGCCUGAGAGGGUGGACGGUCACACUGGGACUGAGACACGGCCCAGACUACUACGGGAGGCAGCAGUGGGGAAUAUUGAACAAUGGGAGCAAGCCUGAUGCAGCGACGCCGCGGGAGGGAUGGAGGCCUUAGGGUUGUGAACCUCUUUCGCCAGUGAAGCAGGCCUGCCUCGUUUGUGGGUGGGUUGACGGUAGCUGGAUAAGAAGCGCCGGCUAACUACGUG
rnacentral:rRNA from 1 species